rnacentral:lncRNA from 1 species
GAAACCCAUGACAUCAAUUAAAUCCUCAUUUCUUAUUUCCUUGGUUCAUGUGAUCAUCAUUAUAGGUAUGUAUAAAAUCUCAGUGUGGCAUAAUUAUGUAAUUCCUUAAACAAAGGAGCUCUAGUAUCCUGGUUAGGAGAGGCAGGAGUCUAAAACCUUGCUGGUUACAAUACUGAAAGCAUUGUGAGAGCCUAAACUAUGUCUUUUUCCUUGUUGUUUCUCCACAUCAUGUAGCUCAGACCAAGGAACAAAAAAGAAGUUUAGUAAGUGGUUCCUAUGGAGACACUGAUGCUUGAUCUACGCAGUUACCUCCGCGUUCAAUUACUGAUGGUCUGUCGCAACUUGACAGAUCAGCCUCUCCUUGUAUUGACUCUUUCUCGCAUGAACAUCCUUCAGCUCCCCCAUCAUAGAAAAUAAACCUUCUCUGUAGCCCGAUAUCAGACCCCACUGCUGCUCUUUUCACGGUCCCACCUGCGCUUCUCGAGGUAGUGUUCCCCUUCCUCAACACACUGCUUCCCUCCCGUUCAUUCCUUAGCUUGUGACCAUUGGUGUGGCUUCUGCCUUCACCUUUUCCCGGAAACUGUGCCAGCUUAGGUCAAAAUCGAAUCCCCCUAUUUCAAAACCUAGCAGGCACCGCCAUGCCCAGUGUGGAGCCCAAUGCAGGGCUCGAACUCAUGACCGUAAGAUCAAGACUGAAGCUGAGAUCAAGAGUCAGACACUUAACCGAUUGAGCCACCCAGGCGCCCCUUUCCCACAUUUUAGAAUGCUCUUGCUCUGAACUUUAACUUGGCUGACUGCCAUGAAUCCUUGAAGGUUUAGUGUUAGUGGCACUAAUCUGGGAGGCCAUACCCAGUCUUCCUCUCAGUUCCAGACUAUUAGGGGCUCCCGGAGCACCCUUUAUUUAUCUUUAUAAUAGCGUGUACCACAUUCUAUUAAAACUGUUCAUGUUAAUUUCUACUUUGAGUUAAGUAUCUGUGUCCAUCGUAUAUAAAUUAGAAAAUCUGGUGAACAUGAAGGAGUCUCCUGUAACCUCAUAACCCAGGGAGAACCACUGCUUGUAUUUUGGGUUUUCUCUCUCCAAGCUACACACAUACACACAUGUUGACAUAGCCUGUU